GUAGGUGGCAAGCGUUGUCCGGAAUUAUUGGGCGUAAAGCGCGCGCAGGCGGUUCUUUAAGUCUGAUGUGAAAGCCCACGGCUCAACCGUGGAGGGUCAUUGGAAACUGGAGAACUUGAGUACAGAAGAGGAAAGCGGAAUUCCACGUGUAGCGGUGAAAUGCGUAGAGAUGUGGAGGAACACCAGUGGCGAAGGCGGCUUUCUGGUCUGUAACUGACGCUGAGGCGCGAAAGCGUGGGGAGCAAACAGGGAUUAGAUACCCUGGUAGUCCACGCCGUAAACGAUGAGUGCUAAGUGUUAGGGGGGUUUUCCCGCCCCCGUUAGUGCUGCAGCUAACGCAUUAAGCACUCCGCCUGGGGGAGUACGGCCCGCAAGGCUG
rnacentral:rRNA from 1 species